rnacentral:lncRNA from 1 species
GCAAUAAUAUCCCUACUAACGCAUAAUUACGUUAUUGAUGCAUAAAAUGAUCUCUUAUGUUUUUAAAAUAUUAAACAACUAUUUUAAAUUAUUUUAUUACACGAAAAUACUUUUUAGAAGUCAUUUAUUAUUUUUUAUAAAUUAUAUAGGAUUAAAAGUGGCUAUUUAAAAUCUAGCCUAUUUUUAUUUCAAUUUCAACCUUAAUUCUAACCCAAUACCCAGCCCAACUUUAAAACCUAAACCUACCCAGGCCCAAAUACCCAUCUUCCCAACCAAAUACCAGGCCAAAUCCUGGCCGUUGAUCAUUUUGAUCAACGGUCCAGGUUCCCCCUUUCCAUAAUUAACCUAACGACCCCCCCUAACCUACACUACUACAAAAAAGACCUUUAGCGGCAAUACAAAAUGGCUUUAGCGGUAAUAACAAUAGCCGCUAUAUCUUUUACCAGCCAAUAGUGUUUUGCCGCUGAUGCUGGGAUCGGCAAAGCCUUAGCGGCUUUUCUCUCAAAAGCUGGUAUAAGGUAUGUUUUAUUGCCGCUAAAACAUAUUAUCUUUAAUGGCUAUUGUUUGUGGCAAUUAUAAUGGAUACUAAAUCCAAUCCAAAAUGGUCAACUAUACUUCUUUAGCAUCCAUUUUUAUAGCCGCUAAAUUGCCGCUAAAAAUCAAUAUCUUUAAAAGUCACUAGCGAUAAUAGCAAUAAUUUGGCGACAAUUAAUAAUAGGUAUUACAUUUGUAUAAAAUAUGACCCAAAUAAUAAAAUAUAUUAAUAUUAAUUAAAAAAAGUAAUAUAUCUCAUUAAAUCUUAACAAACAAAAGGAAGUAUUAAUCAAAAAUAUUAAUAUCACGGUAACUUAAAACAUAAAAAUAUAUUGUUUGGACAAAAUAGCUAAUGUCAUCAUAGUAAUGAUCCAGAAUGAUGGUCUUCAAAUGAUUUCCACAACUUUUCAUCAUUUUAAAAUCUUCCAACCACUAAAUUAUCGAACAUCAGACUGUAUGACCUGAAAUUAUAAAAUAAUUGUGUUAUAGCAUAAAUAUAAUAUGAAAAAACAUCUUGAAGAUUCCAUCAAUGUUAGAUACUUUGUCAGUCAACUCCCUCGCCUAACAUCUAUAAGCAAAAACAACUACAUUCUUUUGAUCGUGCAUAACGAAGAAUCAAAAUCUUAACAUAACGAAGAACCAUGGUCAAGCUUCAGCUAUUAUUUGAACAUCAAUGGCUUCAUAGAUGAAUUUAUAGUCCUAUUCCCUUCAUAAACUAGCUCUUCAUGAGGAUUCUCUAGAGGGACAACUGGAUGAAAAAACUCGAAUGAUGCAUAUGUGAAUUGGGAAAAGGUAAACUGAGUAACUCUAAACUUAGCCAUAAACAUGAAGUGCUGAAACAUGAGACUAGUGUUAUAGCUAAUAGUGCAGAUUUUAUAGCUAACAAUGCAUUUUCUUUUGCAGGAACAACUGAAUUUUAUUUUUUCUCACAGAUUCCUAGUGCUGGAAGGAGGCUACUAAACCUCGACAAGUCACAAACUCCAAAUCUAAGGAUUAGAAUUGCUAACAUAAGACCACCAGAUUGAGAACUCGGCAUGAGGGCAUUUACACGACAUAUGGAACACCACAUGAAAGGAAGAUCUUAACUGGAAAGCUAAAGGUUCACUGCGCAAGAUAUUCUAUCACUCCAGUGAAGAGUCACACAUUGAUCUAAAGUAAUAGCAAACUGGUGGAGAUAAUAGGAGCUUUAUUACGACAAAACCCAUCAGUAUUGCUAGCACCGAACAACCAAAUGUCAGCCACUACAAACCAGA